GUAAAUAUAGUUUAAGAAAAACACUAGAUUGUGAUUCUAGUAACAGGGGUUAGAAUCCCCUUAUUCACC
rnacentral:tRNA from 3 species